rnacentral:rRNA from 1 species
UACGGGGGGGGGCAAGCGUUGUUCGGAAUUACUGGGCGUAAAGGGCGCGUAGGCGGUUCGCUAAGUUGGAUGUGAAAACUCUGGGCUCAACCCAGAGCCUGCAUCCAAAACUGGCGGGCUAGAGUUCUGGAGGGGGUAGCGGAAUUCCUGGUGUAGCGGUGAAAUGCGUAGAGAUCAGGAGGAACACCUGUGGUGUAGACAGCUUACUGGACGAUAACUGACGCUGAGGCACGAAAGCGUGGGUAGCAAACAGG